rnacentral:rRNA from 1 species
CCUACGGGAGGCAGCAGUGGGGGAUAUUGCACAAUGGUGGGAACCCUGAUGCAGCGACGCCGCGUGGGUGAAGAAGUAUUUCGGUAUGUAAAGCUCUAUCAGCAGGGAAGAAAAUGACGGUACCUGACUAAGAAGCCCCGGCUAACUACGUGCCAGCAGCCGCGGUAAUACGUAGGGUGUACGCUUUAUCCGGAUUUACUGGGUGUAAAGGGUGCGCAGACGGCUGUGCAAGUCUGGAGUGAAGGGCGGGGGCCCAACCCCCGGACUGCUCUUGAAACUGUAAAGGUGGAGUGCAGGAGAGGUAAGCGGAAUUCCUGGUGUAGCGGUGAAAUGCGUAGAUAUUAGGAGGAACACCAGGGGCGAAGGCGGCUUACUGGACUGCAACUGACGUUGAGGCUCGAAAGCGUGGGGAGCAAACAGGAUUAGAUACCCCUGUAGUU